GAUGAACGCUAGCGGCAGGCCUAAUACAUGCAAGUCGAACGGUGUCUUCGGACAUAGUGGCGCACGGGUGCGUAACACGUAUGCAACCUACCUUACAUUGGGGGAUAGCCUUUCGAAAGGGAGAUUAAUACCGCAUAAGACAGUAGCUGGGCAUCCAGCAGCUGUUAAAGAUUUAUCGAUGUAAGAUGGGCAUGCGUCCAAUUAGUUAGUUGGCGAGGUAACGGCUCACCAAGACUUUGAUUGGUUGGGGAACUGAGAGGUCAAUCCCCCACACUGGCGCUGAGAUACGGGCCAGACUCCUACGGGAGGCAGCAGUAGGGAAUAUUGGGCAAUGGACGCAAGUCUGACCCAGCCAUGCCGCGUGCAGGAUGAAGGCGUUAUGCGUUGUAAACUGCUUUUAUACAGGAAGAAACGACUCUUGCGAGAGGCAUUGACGGUACUGUAUGAAUAAGCACCGGCUAACUACGUGCCAGCCGCCGCCGUAAAAC
rnacentral:rRNA from 1 species